UUCCUUGAGUUUAGAAAAAGUAGCCCAGAUUCCUCUAUGCCCUACCCAUAAACUAUCAUGAAACUCCUUUAAUAAUUUUAGUUUUUCUUCCCUUUUGCCUAUCACUCGUUGUGGCAUCCCAAUUCCUUUCUUUGAUCUCUUCCAUAAGAAUCCAUCUCGAAGCAAAAAUCCAUAUGCUUUUUUUCUUAUUUAUUUGAAUUUUUCUAUAGACCAAUUUCCCUGCUUAGUCAAGGUAUUCAAGUAAUGACCAAUAUCCAAUAAUUCUCCUUCAUAAGAUUCUUCAAGAAAUAGCUUGUCUUCUUUCUUGAGAUUUGAUAUUGAAUAGAAUUUCAAUCCGACGUCAUCAAUGUCUUCAACCAUUUCGUCCUCCCUCUCAUAUCUUAUUCGAGAUAACAUGUCUGCU
rnacentral:lncRNA from 1 species